AUGAUCCCCACAUGUUCUGGUGUUAUGGCGAUCUGCGCGAAGGCUUGGAAGGUUAUAGCAAACCUCAUCUUCAGCAAGCCUUUUUGCUUUCAAGGAGUCUAUAUGCACAAUACUUUGAACGUUAUGGGGUGCUUCAACAUUUGCCUCGUGAUAAAUCGCAGCAAAAGUUCAGCAAAACAGAAGAGAAGCGAGGCGACGUCACGAUGACAAGCCCAUCUGAGGUCUUGCGACAGAUCCGACAGAUGUCCAGCAGCAGCAGCAGGAGACAAGCUCAAAAGGCCACAGCAAAGUGAAGAAAUCGAAAGCGACAACCACCGACAUUGACACAGAAGAAAUUGGAUCAAAACCUGAAGUACAAUGCGAGGAAUGUAACAGGAGAACGAACGAACCAGCCUUCCGAGGCAUAGAGUUCACAGAAACGGGAGGCAGAGCCGUAGGAACAUGGCCGAUGGGAUACUUAGUAAAAACCCAGGAUACUACAGGAAUACCAUGCUUACCUAGCACUGAAUACCAGAGCAUCAUAACACCACAUCGGGGACAUCAUCCACAAUGCAACAGGAGGUGAAGACCCAGCAUGGAACCAACAAUUAUAUACAGCGGCUUACAACAUGAUAUCAAUCAGCGGAGCAACAAAGAGGUCACGGUCAUCCUCAGCGACUUCAACUGCCACCUUGCAGUGACAAGCGGACAACACCACUGCCAGCUGGAAUAAUAUAUAAAAGAAGCAGGCAUGUACGCCAGCAAGAAACUGUGACAGUAUUGUAAAAGCAUGACAACACAUACAAGAGAAUGAAAUCCAGUACUGAGGAAUUGUUGACAACAAUUAUCCUCCAAUAGGAAUACUAAGUAAUGUGUACGAGCUUUUCGC